CCUACGGGAGGCAGCAGUGAGGAAUAUUGGUCAAUGGACGAGAGCCUGAACCAGCCAAGUAGCGUGAAGGAUGACUGCCCUAUGGGUUGUAAACUUCUUUUAUAUGGGAAUAAAGUGUUCCACGUGUGGGAUUUUGUAUGUACCAUAUGAAUAAGGAUCGGCUAACUCCGUGCCAGCAGCCGCGGUAAUACGGAGGAUCCGAGCGUUAUCCGGAUUUAUUGGGUUUAAAGGGAGCGUAGGUGGGUUGUUAAGUCAGUUGUGAAAGUUUGCGGCUCAACCGUAAAAUUGCAGUUGAUACUGGCAGUCUUGAGUACAGUAGAGGUGGGCGGAAUUCGUGGUGUAGCGGUGAAAUGCUUAGAUAUCACGAAGAACUCCGAUUGCGAAGGCAGCUCACUGGACUGCAACUGACACUGAGGCUCGAAAGUGUGGGUAUCAAACAGGAUUAGAUACCCCAGUAGUC
rnacentral:rRNA from 1 species